AUACUUACUUGGCAGGGGAGAUACCAUGAUCACAAAGGUGGCCUUCCCAGGGCAAGAGUUAUCCGUUGCACUCUGGAUGUACACACCCAUGAGAUUUCCCCAAAUGUGGGAAACUUGAAUGCAUAAUUUGUGGUAGUGGGGACUAUAUUGGUGCUCUCCUUU